GUUUGAUCAUGGCUCAGGAUGAACGCUAGCUACAGGCUUAACACAUGCAAGUCGAGGGGAAACGACAUCGAAAGCUUGCUUUUGAUGGGCGUCGACCGGCGCACGGGUGAGUAACGCGUAUCCAACCUGCCCACCACUUGGGAAUAACCUUGCGAAAGUAAGACUAAUGCCCAAUGAUAUCUCUAGAAGACAUCUGAAGGAGAUUAAAGAUUUAUCGGUGAUGGAUGGGGAUGCGUCUGAUUAGCUUGUUGGCGGGGUAACGGCCCACCAAGGCGACGAUCAGUAGGGGUUCUGAGAGGAAGGUCCCCCACAUUGGAACUGAGACACGGUCCAAACUCCUACGGGAGGCAGCAGUGAGGAAUAUUGGUCAAUGGGCGAGAGCCUGAACCAGCCAAGUAGCGUGCAGGAUGACGGCCCUAUGGGUUGUAAACUGCUUUUAUAAGGGAAUAAAGUGGGAGUCGUGACUCUUUUUGCAUGUACCUUAUGAAUAAGGACCGGCUAAUUCCGUGCCAGCAGCCGCGGUAAUACGGAAGGUCCGGGCGUUAUCCGGAUUUAUUGGGUUUAAAGGGAGCGUAGGCCGGAGAUUAAGCGUGUUGUGAAAUGUAGACGCUCAACGUCUGCACUGCAGCGCGAACUGGUUCC
rnacentral:rRNA from 1 species